UACGUAGGGGGCAAGCGUUGGUCCGGAUUUAUUGGGCGUAAAGAGCGUGUAGGCGGCUUUGCAAGUCCGUUGUGAAAACUCGAGGCUCAACCUCGAGACGCCGGUGGAAACUGCAAAGCUAGAGUCCGGAAGAGGAGAGUGGAAUUCCGUGGUGUAGCGGUGAAAUGCGCAGAUAUCAGGAAGAACACCCGUGGCGAAGGCGGCUCUCUGGGACGGUACUGACGGCUGAGACGGCGAAAGCGUGGGGAGCGAAACAGG
rnacentral:rRNA from 1 species